UUAAUAUGCCUUUUGGUGGGGGACAACAGUUGGAAACGACUGCUAAUACCGCAUAAUGUCUACGGACCAAAGUGGGGGACCUUCGGGCCUCACGCCAAAAGAUUAGCCCAAGUGGGAUUAGCUAGUUGGUAAGGUAAUGGCUUACCAAGGCAACGAUCCCUAGCUGGUUUGAGAGGAUGAUCAGCCACACUGGGACUGAGACACGGCCCAGACUCCUACGGGAGGCAGCAGUGGGGAAUAUUGCACAAUGGGCGCAAGCCUGAUGCAGCCAUGCCGCGUGUGUGAAGAAGGCCUUCGGGUUGUAAAGCACUUUCAGUAAGGAGGAAAGGGUAGUCUUUAAUAGAGGCUAUCUGUGACGUUACUUACAGAAGAAGCACCGGCUAACUCCGUGCCAGCAGCCGCGGUAAUACGGAGGGUGCGAGCGUUAAUCGGAAUUACUGGGCGUAAAGCGUACGCAGGCGGUUUGUUAAGCGAGAUGUGAAAGCCCCGGGCUCAACCUGGGAACUGCAUUUCGAACUGGCAAACUAGAGUGUGAUAGAGGGUGGUAGAAUUUCAGGUGUAGCGGUGAAAUGCGUAGAGAUCUGAAGGAAUACCGAUGGCGAA
rnacentral:rRNA from 1 species